AUUGAACGCUGGCGACAGGCUUAACACAUGCAAGUCGAGCGGGGUGAGGUGCUUCGGUACUGAUCCUAGCGGCGGACGGGUGAGUAAUGCUUAGGAAUCUGCCUAUUAGUGGGGGACAACAUUCCGAAAGGAAUGCUAAUACCGCAUACGUCCUACGGGAGAAAGCAGGGGAUCUUCGGACCUUGCGCUAAUAGAUGAGCCUAAGUCGGAUUAGCUAGUUGGUGGGGUAAAGGCCUACCAAGGCGACGAUCUGUAGCGGGUCUGAGAGGAUGAUCCGCCACACUGGGACUGAGACACGACCCAGACUCCUACGGGAGGCAGCAGUGGGGAAUAUUGGACAAUGGGCGGAAGCCUGAUCCAGCCAUGCCGCGUGUGUGAAGAAGGCCUUUUGGUUGUAAAGCACUUUAAGCGAGGAGGAGGCUACCUAGAUUAAUACUCUGGGAUAGUGGACGUUACUCGCAGAAUAAGCACCGGCUAACUCUGUGCCAGCCGCCGCCGUAAAAC
rnacentral:rRNA from 1 species